rnacentral:rRNA from 1 species
ACUACGGGUGGCAGCAGUGGGGAAUAUUGCACAAUGGGGGAAACCCUGAUGCAGCGACGCCGCGUGAGUGAAGAAGUAUUUCGGUACGUAAAGCUCUAUCAGCAGGGAAGAAAAUGACGGUACCUGACUAAGAAGCCCCGGCUCACUACGUGCCAGCAGCCGCGGGAAUACGGAGGGGGCAAGCGUUAUCCGGAUUUACUGGGUGUAAAGGGGGCGUAGACGGCAGCGCAAGUCUGGAGUGAAAUCCCAGGGCUUAACCAUGGAACUGCUGUGGACAAUGUGCAGCUGGAGUGCAGGAGAGGUAAGCGGAAUUCCGAGUGUAGCGGUGAAAUGCGUAGAUAUUAGGAGGAACACCAGUGGCGAAGGCGGCUUACUGGACUGUAACUGACGUUGAGGCUCGAAAGCGUGGGGAGCAAACAGGAUUAGAUACCCCUGUAGUC